AGGGAAUCUUCGGCAAUGGACGCAAGUCUGACCGAGCAACGCCGCGUGAGUGAAGAAGGUUUUCGGAUCGUAAAACUCUGUUGUUAGAGAAGAACAAGGAUGAGAGUAGAACGUUCAUCCCUUGACGGUAUCUAACCAGAAAGCCACGGCUAACUACGUGCCAGCAGCCGCGGUAAUACGUAGGUGGCAAGCGUUGUCCGGAUUUAUUGGGCGUAAAGCGAGCGCAGGCGGUUUCUUAAGUCUGAUGUGAAAGCCCCCGGCUCAACCGGGGAGGGUCAUUGGAAACUGGGAAACUUGAGUGCAGAAGAGGAGAGUGGAAUUCCAUGUGUAGCGGUGAAAUGCGUAGAUAUAUGGAGGAACACCAGUGGCGAAGGCGGCUCUCUGGUCUGUAACUGACGCUGAGGCUCGAAAGCGUGGGGAGCAAAC
rnacentral:rRNA from 1 species